rnacentral:lncRNA from 1 species
UGUCCAGGGAAGAGAGACUUUUUUGUUUUUAAUAUUUAAAACUUUGGCUUGGUUUUGGUGUCUUGACUCAGCAAAGUCUAUAAUGCAGCAGGGCUGGGUAAGCAUUAAAGGGGGUACUGAAGCUUUCCUUUAUUUUAUAAUCCCAGUUGUUUUUCUAGAAACCAUCAAUAGACUCUAAAUGACUGACUCAAUUUUUGGAACCUAUUCUCAUGACUAAGCAAAUGUUUGAUUUGAAACCAGCCCAGUAUAAAUGUCUCUGGGCUUCUAACUCUCUGUAGCUUUCCUGGGUUUCUUUCAGCACUGGAGAAAUCAACCUAUGCACUAAAAAUGUCUAAAACUGGAACCAAGGUAAGUAAAAAAAGUCAUACUGAUUUUUAGCCUACCCACUUUAAACGUAAUGAUACAUUGAAAGGAACGUGGAGAAGAGCUUUUGCUUUUUUGCCUAGAGGUGAGUAUGAAUGGUUAAAGGACUAGUACUGGGAAAGAAAAUUAAGAAAAGCUUAUUAUAUUUUUCUACUCUAACAGAAUUACCAAAUACUUUCUUAAGAGUUUAUCUAUCU